rnacentral:rRNA from 1 species
UACGGGGGGGGCAAGCGUUGUUCGGAAUUACUGGGCGUAAAGGGCUCGUAGGCGGCCAACUAAGUCGGAUGUGAAAUCCCCAGGCUCAACCUGGGAACUGCAUCCGAUACUGGAUGGCUUGAAUUUGGGAGAGGGAUGCAGAAUUCCAGGUGUAGCGGUGAAAUGCGUAGAUAUCUGGAGGAAUACCGGUGGCGAAGGCGGCAUCCUGGACCAACAUUGACGCUGAGGAGCGAAAGCUAGGGGAGCAAAC